rnacentral:rRNA from 1 species
GGUACUAUUUAUACCAACAAGAUGCAUUUAUUUUUUGGAACCCAUCACUUAAGAACUUCAUAGUUAAGUGUGUUUGGCUUGGAGUAGUAAUGAGAUGAGUGACCUUCUGGAAAGUUUCUCGGAAAGCAUGU